UAAAAAGAAAAAAUGCACCCGUCCUCCCCACUACCUAGCAGUGACUUCAAUUUGUCAGUGAGUUGAAGAGACAGAGAUGAAGCGGACGCAGCACGUGAAGACAAUUCUUUCAAGAAGUUUGGCUGUAAAGGAAAAGAUAAAGGUGCUGAAGACCAUAUAAGCAUGGAGUAGACAGGCCACCUUUGCUACUACAUGGAAGCUUAUUUAAAAUUGAAGCUUAAAAAGCCAACCUGGAAGAUAGAAACCAAAUCCUGAUGACAUUAUUUGAGCCCAGGGAUCCAAACAUGCCCAAAGACUAUUUUGCCACUGGACUUUUCAGUUAAAUGAGCCAAUAAACUCUCU